UCUUGUUGCAGGGGAAAAUGGACUGCUUAUCUGGCCCUGAUACAUGCAAAUUCCUCCCAUCGUGAAGUCCAACUUGGAGAAAUUCUGGAUAAUGUUUUUGAAAGAUUGGGAGAUACACAGUAAUACGAAAUACGGAACUUUAUAGGUGCAUGGAUAUAUAUGUAAGUAGCAAGAAAACUUGUACAUUUUAUCCUGGUUUUAUAUGGACUAUGAGAUAAAUAAACAUGUCUAGGCAAAUGCAUUAUAAAGUUUCUGAAAUACGUCAGGAAUGAAAAAGUGACACACUUCACAGUUAAUUACUCUUGACUAGAAAUAUGGCAUACUUCAUUAAAAUACACUGUAAGCUUAAUUCUAUAAACAUUUAUGCAUGCAAAUAAUUUUAGUCAUAUGAGUAGUCAUCACUAUUACUAAAAUAGUUUUGGACUGCUGCUGAUGAAAAAGAUGCAUCCAUUGUGCCCAGUCAGUCAAAGAUGUAACAAGAGUUUGCGCAUUGAACAGUAAAAGUUUCUCCAGUGUGUUUAGUAGAAAAGAUUUGUAGUAGUGUGUAAAACCACAUUUUGUUUGAGACUGCUGUAUCAGGGUUUUAUGUCCCCUUUUAAAAAGCAAAAUGCAAAUAAUAGCUAGUUGCAUAGCAAUGAUGAAGCUUUACUCAUAUUAUGUAUUUAAAUAUGAAAGAACAUUUUACAUUAUCUAAAAUAAAUAGGAAAGAAAGUGCUGGUAAUCUGCUUUCAAAGGGUGCUUGAGGGGUUGGUCAGAUACCAAACAGAGGGACUAUAAUUUAUUGAUUGCAUUAUAUUGCUUGUAUUAAUAAAGAGCAAAUGAAAUUUGCAGGCAAUUCUUUAAGAAGGGAUUUACCAUCAGUAUAAUUACAAAAAGGCUACCUUAUGUUAAGCACUUAGUUGUGAUAUUUGGCUCUGAUUUUGUUAAGGCAUAUAAUUUUUAAAAGAAGUUUGAUAGAAAUAUAUGCCAAGUUUCCAUGGGAUAUUGCUGCUUGGCUAUCUUAGGCUUCUUUGAAACCUCCUCUGUACAAAUUGCAUCUGAGCUAUAUUUAUGUAAGAAAAUAAAAAAAAAAAUAGAAGACGUUCAGGUCCUUAUCAUUUCUACUGUUUCUAUCGUGCAUUCAAGCUAACAGUUAUGCUCAGACUGGCAUGGUUAAGGAACAUUGAUUUUUUGCAUUCAGAAGCAAGCAGAGGAGAAGCAUACAUAAUCAUCUUUAACUCUUCAGCCUGGACAGCCAGGCAUUGAAAAGAAAAUACCAGGCUUGAGAGUAGGACACAGAGCAGAGAACCCCUGACAGUAUCUACUGCUCCAUGAAGCUAAGGAAUGAUUGCAUGCCACCCAGAGGUACUUUCCUUGCAGGCUUGACAUGAUGAGGAUUGAAGUAGACCCUGCAGCAGCCAGGAUCCUUCCUCCUUUUUUAUCUUUCUUCUCCUUGCUAUGUCCCUGACUGUGCAGACUGUCUAUCUAGUGCUGGCUAGCCACAAUGCUCAGAGGAGCUUGCUGAGGAAAUCUGUGACUCUGGGGCUUCAGAAAGUAAAGGUAUAAAUAAAAAGCUGGGAGGAAAAGUACCAGCAGAAUUUCUGAAGGCGUUCUGGGGUAUUUGUUGAAGAUAGUACAUCGUAGGGAGGUGAAUUUUGUUGUCUAACUGUCUGCGGCCAGUGCUCACAUGUGUGAGUAACUUGUGGGUGUAAUAACCAGUAAUAACAAAAACAGAAAAGUGUGACAAAUAUAGAUGUAGAUUAAGAUACAAAAUGCAUCUUUUUUUUUUUUUCUCACUGUGUUCUCUCUUUACAUUUUCAUGCACAACUGGGAAUAGAGGUUUAUCCUAAAAAAAGUUUACCUGUGAGUAAACUGACAUAUGUUUAUGACAUAUGACACGACAUGUGUUUAUGCCAGCAUUAUGCUUCAUGAAAACUGUAUGCUUGAUUCAGCACAGAGUCUGCCAAAGGAAACUUAGCUCCAUAUUUUUUAACUAAUUCAAAACAACAGAGUGAGUUUGUACCAGUUUCAUACUUUGUGUCAUCUGGCUACUGUAUUUUCAAUACAAGAGCAGAUGCCACAAUAUGUGACAUGAAAGAAAUCUUUAACAUCCACUUCCAAGUGCACAUCAAAUUAUCUCACAGGUUUGUCCAGUUCUGGUGUAAUAUAUAAAAUAAUUUAUGUCUAUACAGAAUGAAUGCACAAAACUUAAAUUUUAUGUCAGACUGAAAUAGGAUCUGUUGUUAUUUUAUGAGAAUGCAGUGACUGGAAAUGUAUGAUUUACCAGAAAACCAGCUAUGACUAUGAGGAAAUAGGUAGUACCUUCUGAUGCUAACAUAAUUAAAGAAAUAGAGCUUUUACAUAAGGAGGUAUUAUGAAUGUCAUAAUUGCAGGGAAAUAUUAAUUACAUUGUGCAUCAUAUUAAAUGACAGCAUCGCCAAUAAUAGGAAAAAAAUAUAUUUAAACUAAGUGGAAUCUGUCAUCCCAAGACAGUGGGAAUACGUGGAUAAGCAAGGUAUUGCAUUAGGAGCAUGCAGAUGUCCAUAUAUCUUUGCACCAAGACAGUUCUCAUGGCACCCUGGUCUUGAACUGGUUUGGUCCAGCACUGGCUUUGAGCUAAUUAUUGCAGAACUGUUGUCUCUACCCCAUGCUUCAAAGCCUUCCAUGUUCAAAGUUGGCUUGUUAGCUCCGAUACAGUGCUGGACUCAGGCUGGUUCCAUGCAUUCAUGUGACACUUCUCUAGGAUUAAAAAGCCUUUCCAGUAAACAGGCUUCUGUUGUCUAUAGAGCAGAGACAUCCAAAUGUUUCUGAAAGAGAUAAUGUGUUAUCACUAGUACUUAACUGAAGCUAAUAAGCCUUGUUGGACCCUAGCUGAUCAUAUGCAGAAAUACCCAGCUGUGGCUCUGUACAGCUUUUUCCCAAGCUCCAGUUUCCAGGACACAGUGUUUUGCAUGGCAUCAACUCCAGUCUCACACAGCUUAUUAUGCUAGCUGUGAUGCUAUGCAAAAGAGGCAGUUUUGUUUCUGGAGCAGAGCUGCUCUCGAAUCUAGCACAUUGCUGGAGCUAAAGAUCCCUACCAGAUUGAAGCUGGCCUGGCAUGAGGCCAUCUUAACGUGCUUGCAGCUUUGAUGUAUCCUGAUGUCAUCUGCAGCUUGAAUAAACCUCCUAGAGAUACCACUGAUUGGCUGUCCAGGGUAGGAAUAAUUAAUAGGAACACUUGUGUCAGUUUUUAACCAUUAUAAUCAAGAUGAAAGCUAAUGUAGGUAUAAAAAAAACCAACAACCAAACAGAAGCACAUCUGCCAUUCUGCAAUUCUGACCCUGUAUUUGAAACCAUCUUCUAUUAUCCAAAGACAAUAUGUUGGAUAAGGUAAAUUAGUUUUGAUCCAGUAUCACCGAUUUAAUUUUCACUGUAUUCUCUAAGGAAUCACCUGCUCAAACCCCAUUGUAAUAUUCAAGUCUAAUUGUCCUAUCACUAACAACCUUCUAUCACUGACGGAAUUGGAAGAGAAUGCUGUGACAGGUUAACCAAAGUGGAACCUACACGCUGGGACUAUUUAAAAUGAUGGGAUUUGAAAAGAGUGCGGGGACAAGUAGAUUGUCUGUUGUUUGAUCUUACAUGUCAUGUAGGAUAUGUAUUCUGUAUAAUUCACAAGUAAUAGGUAUUAUUUAUAUAUUUGUCUAUUUUGGCUAAUAGCUGUAUUACAUUCAGCAGAUGGCAAUGCAAUCACUUAAAAGAUUUUUCAUAAAAAGAAUUUAUUAACAACCUAUUAACGUCAAUAAGAAUAAUACGGGUGUUUUUUUUUUUACAUAUCUCCUAAAUUUAUCUGGCAUACUGUUCAGAACUCAUGGUCAGCUAUUACCAGGGUAACCAAAUACAGUUACCACUGAAAUAGUAACUUUGAAGAUCCUAAAUCACUGAAUUAAAAAUGUUCCACUGAAUACAA